CCCUGAAGGAGCAGAAUCCUAAUGCUUGGUUCUGGCAGUGAGCUACCCUGAAGGAGCAGAGUCCUAACUCCUAACGUUUGGUUCUGGCAGUGAGCUACCCUGAAGGAGCAGAAUCCUAAUGCUUGGUUCUGGCAGUGAGCUAACCUGAAGGAGCAGAGUCCUAACUCCUAACGCUUGGUUCUGGCAGUGAGCUACCCUGAAGGAGCAGAGUCCUAACUCCUAACGCUUGGUUCUGGCAGUGAGCUACCCUGAAGGAGCAGAGUCCUAACGCUUGGUUCUGGCAGUGAGCUGCCCUGAAGGAGCAGAGUCCUAACUCCUAACGCUUGGUUCUGGCAGUGAGCUACCCUGAAGGAGCAGAGUCCUAGCUCCUAACUCUUGGUUCUGGCAGUGAGCUACCCUGAAGGAGCAGAGUCCUAGCUCCUAAUGCUUGGUUCUGGCAGUGAGCUACCCUGAAGGAGCAGAAUCCCAAUGCUUGGUUCUGGCAGUGAGCUACCCUGAAGGAGCAGAGUCCUAAGUCCUAACGUUUGGUUCUGGCAGUGAGCUACUCUGAAGGAGCAGAGUCCUAACUCCUAACACUUGGUUCUGGCAGUGAGCUACCCUGAAGGAGCAGUCCUAACGCUUGGUUCUGGCAGUGAGCUGCCCUGAAGGAGCAGAGUCCUAACUCCUAACGCUUGGUUCUGGCAGAGUCCUAACGUUUGGUUCUGGCAGUGAGCUACCCUGAAGGAGCAGAGUCCUAACGCUUGGUUCUGGCAGUGAGCUACCCUGAAGGAGCAGAGUCCUAGCUCCUAACGCUUGGUUCUGGCAGUGAGCUACCCUGAAGGAGCAGAAUCCUAAUGCUUGGUUCUGGCAGUGAGCUACCCUGAAGGAGCAGAGUCCUAACUCCUAACGUUUGGUUCUGGCAGUGAGCUACCCUGAAGGAGCAGAAUCCUAAUGCUUGGUUCUGGCAGUGAGCUAACCUGAAGGAGCAGAGUCCUAACUCCUAACGCUUGGUUCUGGCAGUGAGCUACCCUGAAGGAGCAGAGUCCUAACUCCUAACGCUUGGUUCUGGCAGUGAGCUACCCUGAAGGAGCAGAGUCCUAACGCUUGGUUCUGGCAGUGAGCUGCCCUGAAGGAGCAGAGUCCUAACUCCUAACGCUUGGUUCUGGCAGUGAGCUACCCUGAAGGAGCAGAGUCCUAGCUCCUAACUCUUGGUUCUGGCAGUGAGCUACCCUGAAGGAGCAGAGUCCUAGCUCCUAAUGCUUGGUUCUGGCAGUGAGCUACCCUGAAGGAGCAGAAUCCCAAUGCUUGGUUCUGGCAGUGAGCUACCCUGAAGGAGCAGAGUCCUAAGUCCUAACGUUUGGUUCUGGCAGUGAGCUACUCUGAAGGAGCAGAGUCCUAACUCCUAACACUUGGUUCUGGCAGUGAGCUACCCUGAAGGAGCAGUCCUAACGCUUGGUUCUGGCAGUGAGCUGCCCUGAAGGAGCAGAGUCCUAACUCCUAACGCUUGGUUCUGGCAGAGUCCUAACGUUUGGUUCUGGCAGUGAGCUACCCUGAAGGAGCAGAGUCCUAACGCUUGG